GCCCCCAGUAGCACAAGAGGCCAGUGCUUCUGGCUGUUAACCAGAAGACUGGUGGUUCAAGUCCGCCCAGGGAUG